AGGUGCUGCAUGGCUGUCGUCAGCUCGUGUCGUGAGAUGUUGGGUUAAGUCCCGCAACGAGCGCAACCCUUGUCAUUAGUUGCCAUCAUUUGGUUGGGCACUCUAGCGAGACUGCCGGUAAUAAACCGGAGGAAGGUGGGGAUGACGUCAAGUCCUCAUGGCCCUUAUAGGUGGGGCUACACACGUCAUACAAUGGAUGGUACAAAGGGUCGCCAACCCGCGAGGGGGAGCCAAUCCCAUAAAGCCAUUCGUAGUCCGGAUCGCAGUCUGCAACUCGACUGCGUGAAGUCGGAAUCGCUAGUAAUCGUGGAUCAGAAUGUCACGGUGAAUACGUUCCCGGGUCUU
rnacentral:rRNA from 1 species